GCCUUGUUUGCGGUGGAUGUCGACUCGUCAGUACUGGACGCCUCCUGCUUUCUUUUCUUCCCUGGAGCCAGUCCCUGAGUUUUGUACUUCUUCAUAACUGAGGCAGCAAAGAGAACAUGGGCUGUGAAUGAUUCCUUCCUGCGAGGGUACGAGAUCCUCGGAUUGGUCAGGCUCAUGGAUUGAAGGAUAAACCCACAAGAUGGCUUACAGCAGAACUGAAGAUCGUUAACAACAAGGUAAAAACUCUGAAAGCUUCCAGAAAUGAAGAGCAGAUUACCUGUAAAGAUUCAAGGAGCAGCCUGAAUCUGACACUCAACAGCAAAGCUGUCCACCAACAGUAAAACAGGGUCAGAUAAAGGUAUACGUAAAAACAGAAGCACGAGAAAGGAGCACUCAGAAGUGUCAGAAACGGGAACGAAAGUGGCCGAAGCCAAACUGCACCCCUUAAUUAUCAGCAGACACAGAAAUGGCCCUAACGAGGUGAUCUGCAGGUGGGAUGACACAAGGACUGGGAUCCCAAAGGACAGAUGGGGUUGGUAGAUGAUCUGAGGUCAUCUAAAGAGAAGAAAGCUGAUUAUUUUAAUCCAGACCAUAGUCGUGGAGUGGCUAGCUGAAGUCGAGAUUUGAGACCAUCUGAAAAUGCCACCAAAGCAUGAGUAAGUCAUGGGAAGGCGAAGGGGAUCUGGAGGUGUCCGUAAACACCUGUGAAUGUUCAUUGCUUCUUUUCAAGGCUUUAGGUUGCUGUUUCAUGCGGCAUGGAGCUGGCCUUAAGGUAAGAGGUGGAGGGGAACACUAGGGAGGUCAGAGAGGGCCCCAUCCCAGAGAUCAGGGGGUAGAGAACAUAUGGGAAGAAUGACCAUAUCAGGACAUUUUCCUGCUCCUUUUCUUUGCAAUCAGGUGAUGUAAUGUCCCCGAUUGGGACUCCUGCACAUAACACACAGAUUCCUGUCAUCAAUAAGGACAAUUCCGAGCAGUGCUCCAUAAUUCAUACAGUGAAGCUGGAAUUUUAAUAGCUGAAACAAAGGAAUGCUAAAAACGUGUAUUUCUUCCUGGCUCACAGGCAGUAGCCAGACAUUUGGUGGCUUGUGCGGUGAUGCAGAAAGCUCACUAGUACAACAUCCAAGAAACCUCGAUACGGAGAAAAACGGAUAAAUUUACGCCAAGUUUUUACUGUUUCAAGUAUUAAUUCACAUGGUCAAAAUCCCCAGGAAAAGUCCCCACUGGAUUGACUUUCCGUGGGCCAAAGCUAACACACUGGUUUUUGUGAAUACAGUUUUAUUGGGGCACAGAAAUACUCAUUUAUUUAUGCAUUGUCUACGUCUGCAUUCCUGGUGCCACUGAAGAGCCGACGAGCCAC